CCUACGUGAGGCAGCAGUGAGGAAUAUUGGUCAAUGGGCGGAAGCCUGAACCAGCCAAGUCGCGUGAGGGAAUAAGGCCCUACGGGUCGUAAACCUCUCUUGCCGGGGAGCAAGGGCGGGGACGUGUCCCGGCCCGGCGAGUACCCGGAGAAAAAGCAUCGGCUAACUCCGUGCCAGCAGCCGCGGUAAUACGGAAGGCCCGAGCGUUAUCCGGAUUCAUUGGGCCUAAAGGGAGCGUAGGCGGGCGUUCAAGUCAGCUGUAAAAUCGCGCGGCUCAACCGCGCCCCGCAGUUGAAACUGGACGCCUUGAGUUCACAACAGGCAGGCGGAAUUCGUGGUGUAGCGGUGAAAUGCAUAGAUAUCACGAGGAACCCCGAUUGCGAAGGCAGCCUGCCGGGGUGCGACUGACGCUGAGGCUCGAAGGUGCGGGUAUCAAACAGGAUUAGAUACCCGGGUAGUC
rnacentral:rRNA from 1 species